UUAAUGUUUGAUGUUCUAACGUGGGCCCCUAAUCGGGGUUGCGGACAGUGUCUGGUGGGUAGUUUGACUGGGGCGGUCUCCUCCUAAAGAGUAACGGAGGAGCACGAAGGUUGGCUAAUCCUGGUCGGACAUCAGGAGGUUAGUGCAAUGGCAUAAGCCAGCUUGACUGCGAGCGUGACGGCGCGAGCAGGUGCGAAAGCAGGUCAUAGUGAUCCGGUGGUUCUGAAUGGAAGGGCCAUCGCUCAACGGAUAAAAGGUACUCCGGGGAUAACAGGCUGAUACCGCCCAAGAGUUCAUAUCGACGGCGGUGUUUGGCACCUCGAUGUCGGCUCAUCACAUCCUGGGGCUGAAGUAGGUCCCAAGGGUAUGGCUGUUCGCCAUUUAAAGUGGUACGCGAGCUGGGUUUAGAACGUCGUGAGACAGUUCGGUCCCUAUCUGCCGUGGGCGCUGGAGAACUGAGGGGGGCUGCUCCUAGUACGAGAGGACCGGAGUGGACGCAUCACUGGUGUUCGGGUUGUCAUGCCAAUGGCACUGCCCGGUAGCUAAAUGCGGAAGAGAUAAGUGCUGAAAGCAUCUAAGCACGAAACUUGCCCCGAGAUGAGUUCUCCCUGAGACUUAGAGUCUCCUGAAGGAACGUUGAAGACGACGACGUUGAUAGGCCGGGUGUGUAAGCGCAGCGAUGCGUUGAGCUAACCGGUACUAAUGAACCGUGAGGCUUAACCUUACAACGCCGAAG
rnacentral:rRNA from 1 species